rnacentral:rRNA from 1 species
AGAACGAACGCUGGCGGCAGGCUUAACACAUGCAAGUCGAACGCCCCGCAAGGGGAGUGGCAGACGGGUGAGUAACGCGUGGGAAUCUACCUGGUUCUACGGAACAACACAGGGAAACUUGUGCUAAUACCGUAUACGCCCCAAGGGGGAAAGAUUUAUCGGUGCCAGAUGAGCCCGCGUAAGAUUAGCUAGUUGGUGGGGUAAUGGCCUACCAAGGCGACGAUCUUUAGCUGGUCUGAGAGGAUGAUCAGCCACACUGGGACUGAGACACGGCCCAGACUCCUACGGGAGGCAGCAGUGGGGAAUAUUGGACAAUGGGCGCAAGCCUGAUCCAGCCAUGCCGCGUGAGUGAUGAAGGCCUUAGGGUUGUAAAGCUCUUUCAGUGGGGAAGAUAAUGACGGUACCCACGAGAAGAAGCCCCGGCUAACUUCGCGCCAGCAGCCGC